AUUGAACGCUGGCGGCAGGCCUAACACAUGCAAGUCGAGCGGAUGAGGGGAGCUUUCGCCUGGUUUCAGCGUCGGACGGGUGAGUAAUGCCUAGGAAUCUGCCUGGUAUUGGGUUGUAACGUCCUGAAACGGGCGCUAAUACUGCAGACUUCCUGAUGCAGAUAGAGGGGGAUGUUCGGACCUCACGCUAUCAGAUGAGUCUAGGUCGGGUUAGCUAGUUGGUGGGGUAAAGAGCUGCUAAGGCGACGAUCCGUAACUGGUCUGAGAGAAUGAUCAGUCACACUGGAACUGAGACACGGUCCAGAGUCCUGCGGGACGCCGCAGUGUGCAAUAUUGGACAACAGGCGAAAGUAUUGUCCAGCCAUGCCGAGUGUGUUACGAAGGUCUUCGGAGUGUAAAGCCCUUUAAGUUGUGAGGAAGGGCAGUCAGUUAAUACCUUGCUGUUUUGACGUUACCAACAGAAUAAGCACCGGCUAACUUCGUG
rnacentral:rRNA from 1 species